CGUCACAAACAGUUGUCAGUGUCCGCCAUGCGACUAUAAUUAUGUUGCUUUCAUUUGUAAGAUAAUUUUCAAGGACAUGAUUAUUUCAAGAUCACAAUCGAAUGAUUAAGGUAAUGCAAUAGUCACACGUUUUUUUCUUUUUUUGCGAAAAUAACUUUAUCAUCAUGCGUUGGCACCUCGAAAGAAACCCGUGGGACGCAUAACAAGGUGAGAUAUGAGUCACUUCUUUCGAAUGAUUUAACAAAGCGGUAUGCUAAUCUCUUUGCUACCUUGACAGACUUAGACUCUGGAACGUCAUGUAAUGGCAGAAUCAGUAAGUAACAGAAAGCAAACAUAUACCGAGAGAAAAGGGAAAGGCAAAAUCGAGCGGUGGUUCGUCAACCAAACAGGUUAACUGGCAGCGUUUGGUUGUUCCCAAACAGCAACGGGUCCCUAGAAGUAGAGAACGGGCUCGAGAGUGAAACCUCCAAAAAUACGUUUCCCCCAAAACCCUUGCGUCAGAGAAGACAUCGCGCGGGAUCUCGACGAUCAUGAGGCAGGAGGCGACGCUGCCGACCGGCCUCCAGACGCAGACGCGGCGCUGAGGGAGGCGGGCUGCGUGAGUCACUCUGCUGGCGGUGGUGAUGAUGAUGAUUAUAUGUAAUUGUAAUAAUAAUGGUGAUCUCGUUGUUAAU